rnacentral:misc_RNA from 1 species
GACAGCGACUGACAGCGACACGUCGGGAUGAGAGGGUGUGCGUUGCGUGCGGUGUGCAAAGCGGUAGCUUUGCCAAAAUAAGAUUACGAGUGUACGAGACGAGGGUCCGCGAUUCCGCGCGCGUCCGUCUCGGUUGGAUAUCUUGCUCGCUCGUGACGACGAGGAGGGCGUGAUGCCGCGAUAACGCGGACAGGUUUCACUUGCUGUGCAAUGACGUGUUCCCGCGCUUGGCCGCACGUUCCGCACGGAGUCCGCCUUUAAGGCUAAGGAAGCUGGGAGUGCUGGGACUGCUGGGAGAACAGCCGCUUCUCGACGAGAGUGGUCGGAGCCCCGGGGUUGCAGUACUGCGAUGCCGCUGCGUGCCAGCGGUCCGAGGGUUAACGCGUUGUUCAUCAGGGUCGCGAUCGGUGGUUACGUAUUUCUACCCACGCCGUCGACCCGGUGAACAGAAUGGGCAACCAGAACGGAUCGUGCUGGUGGUGCGUCAAGGCCGUCAAGUGGUUACCAGUAAUCUUCAUCCUGACGAUCGUCGCGUGGUCCUAUUACGCCUACGUCGUGCAGUUGUGCUACUAUACAAUAGACAAUUAUGUUCAAAAAGCUUUCUAUCUGCUUUUCUUCCACAUCCUCAUUCUGAUGUUUUUAUGGGCAUAUUGGCAAACAGUGUACACAAAUUUAAUACCAGUGCCGGAUAAGUUUAAAAUACCUGAUGUUGAAAUGGAGAAAUUACAACAGGCUGAAACAGAAGAAACGCAAAGACAAAUUUUAGAAAGAUUUGCACAAGAUCUCCAGGUUACUAAUCGCACCAUAAAAGGAGCUAUGCGAUUCUGUGAGAAAUGUCAGUUAAUAAAGCCUGAUAGAGCACAUCACUGUAGCGUAUGUGGCACCUGCGUUUUAAAAAUGGAUCAUCAUUGUCCAUGGGUGAACAAUUGUGUAGGCUUCCACAAUUACAAAUUUUUCAUGCUAUUUCUGGCAUAUGGACUUCUCUAUUGUAUGUUUAUUACCGCCACAUCUUUACAAUAUUUUAUACAAUUUUGGAAAGGUGAAUUAGACGGAAUGGGUAGAUUUCACCUGCUAUUCCUUUUUUUUGUUGCGUUGAUGUUUGCAAUCAGUCUUACCUCCCUCUUCUUCUAUCAUUGUUAUCUCGUUGUGCAUAAUAGGUCAACACUAGAAGCCUUUAGAGCACCUAUGUUUCGGACAGGAAAGGACAAAGAUGGAUUUAGUCUGGGAAAAUACAAUAAUUUUCAGGAAGUAUUUGGUGACAAUCCGCGACUCUGGUUUCUACCUAUAUUUAGUAGUAUACCAUCUAUCAUAACUUUACCAUUAAAAAAACAACUAUGUGGUUUGGCAUACUUAAAUGAAAUUUGAAAUAUGGUAACAUAAGUACUGCAGGGCCUUGAAUAUAAAGUUCUGGGAAAUGGUGUCGUCUACCCAGUAAGAUCGCAACACCAAGGCACACCCAAUACUUAUGACUCCAUGGGCAGUACUCAGAACAGCUUUGGAGACGGGGUAAAUUUUCCCGAGCGGCUGUGCAGUGAAGAUACUCAUACUUUGUUGGGCCCUGGCACCCAACAAUGGGGUGAUGAAACUGAAUUUGACUCCCCAUCUCCCUACAUAAAUCAGGUCCACCAUUGAUCAAAUGACAUUGGUACAAGAAGCUACAAUUUUGGCUCUUGGCGCUGGGUAAUAUUGUCUGUAGUUUCCUGUUUAAAUAGUACAACUAAUUUCUUACGCUUGCAUGAACAUAUAUAUAAAAUUCUAUUAAAGAUUGGGCGUUAUUCUUUUUUUAUUCUACAUGAUCUGAAUUUCUAUUUAAUCUAUAUAUUUUUAUCUGGGUGUAAUGAAUACAAAUUAAUACCGCUUACAAGAGGAAGGUUUUUAUGAUUGUAUUUAUUUUGACAACAUUUGGGAAAACUCUAUAUAAAGCAUUUGGUUUUGUUUUUCUAUGCUAUGUGAUAGCUUUUGUGUAUGUUGCACUUUAUUUUUGUCAUAAGACAAGAUUUUUAUGUUGCUAUAAAAAUUUUUGGAGUAAUUCUUUUGAUACAAUAUAUUCAAAAUAUUUUACAGCACUGCUGUGAUAGGUCCUUCUGUUGAUGUCGACCAACCCCUGAUGGACAUCACAGAAUCUGUCUGAAUAACACCGACAAAUAUGUAUGCCUUCACACAAUUGCAAUUUUACUUUAUGGUAUUGUGAUUGUAAUUCAGAAUAUUAAUUUACGUUUCGUGUUUCUUUAGGUUUUAAUUCUCAGCGCUUAAGGUUUCAUAGUUAUUAUUACUUGUUGCGAAGAAAAUUUACACUGAAUUGUCGCAGUCAACACAACAAGUAUUUUUAACAUUGCGAUUUGUCCCGCACGAAGAUACUUUGGCCUAUAUUCAGAACGUGCUUAUAAAGAUGUUAGGGUGUUCUUUUUCUAUUUCAAUCUUUAUCGUUUAUUAGACAUAAAAUAAGAAUAAAAUAAAAAAGCACGUUUCUGAAUACUAGCCUUUGAAUUAACUGUAUUAUAUAUAUUGUAAUAUAUACUUGGAUUUAUUGUUAAAAAUAUUGUUAUAAUUACUUGUAAUUUUAACCAUAAUGUUUCACAUAUAAUUAAAUUACCGUGUAGUGUGUUAUGUAUUAUAUUGAUGUUACUAUGAAUUUGUAAUUGAUCGAAUGUAGAUUACAAAUUGUACUAUAAAAUGAUGAAGAGUCAUUGCAGUUCAAUUCAGGGGAUAUUAACAAUAAUCUUCGUCAAAACGUAUAUACAUAUGUGCUGAACAAAAUAGAAAUUAUAAAAAAUUAUGAAUAAAAAUUUGUUCAUUCUUUA